AACAAGGAUUCCCCUAGUAACUGCGAGUGAAGCGGGAAAAGCUCAAAUUUAAAAUCUGGCGGUCUUUGGCCGUCCGAGUUGUAAUUUAGAGAAGUGUUAUCCGCGCUGGACCGUGUACAAGUCUCCUGGAACGGAGCGUCAUAGAGGGUGAGAAUCCCGUCUUUGACACGGACCCCCAGUGCUUUGUGAUGCGCUCUCGAAGAGUCGAGUUGUUUGGGAAUGCAGCUCAAAAUGGGUGGUAAAUUCCAUCUAAAGCUAAAUAUUGGCGAGAGACCGAUAGCGAACAAGUACCGUGAGGGAAAGAUGAAAAGAACUUUGGAAAGAGAGUUAAACAGUACGUGAAAUUGUUGAAAGGGAAACGCUUGAAGUCAGUCGCGUUGUCCGGGGAUCAACCUUGCAUUCGUGCUUGGCGUACUUCCCGGUCGACGGGUCAGCAUCAAUUUUGACCGCUGGAUAAAGGUCAGGGGAAUGUGGCAUCCUCGGAUGUGUUAUAACCUCUGGUCGCAUACAGCGGUUGGGAUUGAGGAACUCAGCACGCCGCAGGCCGGGUUUUUAACCACGUACGUGCUUAGGAUGCUGGCAUAAUGGCUUUAAUCGACCCGUCUUGAAACACGGACCAAGGAGUCUAACAUGCCCGCGAGUGUUUGGGUGGAAAACCCGAGCGCGUAAUGAAAGUGAAAGUUGAGAUCUCUGUCGUGGAGAGCAUCGACGCCGGGACCAGA
rnacentral:rRNA from 1 species